rnacentral:tRNA from 1 species
CGGAUAGAAGCAUAAUUGGAGAUGUGUCUGCUUUGGGUGUAGAAGAUAGUUAGUUCGAAUCUAGCCUAUCCGA